AACGAACGCUGGCGGCAUGCCUAACACAUGCAAGUCGAACGAGACCUUCGGGUCUAGUGGCGCACGGGUGCGUAACGCGUGGGAACCUGCCCUUAGGUUCGGAAUAACUCCCCGAAAGGGGUGCUAAUACCGGAUAAUGUCUUCGGACCAACGAUUUAUCGCCUUUGGAUGGGCCCGCGUUGGAUUAGCUAGUUGGUAGGGUAAAAGCCUACCAAGGCGACGAUCCAUAGCUGGUCUGAGAGGAUGAUCAGCCACACUGGGACUGAGACACGGCCCAGACUCCUACGGGAGGCAGCAGUGGGGAGUAUUGGACAAUGGGCGAAAGCCUGAUCCAGCAAUGCCGCGUGAGUGAUGAAGGGCUUAGGGUUGUAAAGCUCUUUUACCCGAGAUGAUAAUGACAGUACCGGGAGAAUAAGCUCCGGCUAACUCCGUG
rnacentral:rRNA from 1 species